AGCAUUUGGAGCAUGUGAGGAGCUGCCAGAGAAAAUCUCUAAUAUUUUAAUUUCUGCUGCUUCAGGUAUGAAUAUCUUAUAUGGCUUUUGGUUUUUGAUGUUCCUUGAGUUGGUGUUAGUUUAGGAACUUCAUCACUGACACUAGUGUAAAAACUGAGUGAUUACACAGGUCUUUUUAUGGAGUUAUGUCUUCACCCACCUACACAUAGAGAGGCUGUAAAUGUGUGCAGGUCUUAGUGCUUCUGACUUAAUAUAACCACUGCAUCUUGUGGCAGUGGUCUGUGAAGGAUUCUUAGCACAGCAGCUCUGGCUCUCGGUUGCUUCCACUGUGUUUCUCUGCAGCCUUUGCUGCAGCAAUUGUGCUUUUCCAUAUUGCUAUGUUUUCCCAUGACCCAGGAAUCGUUUUUGUUUAAGGAAGCUUGAUCUUGUCUUGCAGAUGCUCAGCCUGAAGCAUGACACAGCAGGUCACAUAUAGUGGUGUGAGUGUGUGGGUCCUCCAGUGACUGUACAUGUGGGAAAUACGCGUUUUGCUUCCUGAAAUAUGUGCAUUAAAGAAAACAGUAAUGAGACAGGUGGAGUGAAACCCCUUUUCUAGCUUAGGACAUACUCAGCCAUCGCACCAUUUUAAAUGCAGUCACAUAGCCCUAGUACCUCACUGCUUUCUGAGGUCUUGGGGAUGGUGACUUUUAUAGCUUUUCAUAAAGUGGAUAGAAUGGAGUUGCUCAGAAAUCCCCAGUAGACAAAAGAAUAUCACGAGUCCCAUUUUGUUGGGUAGAUGGAGUUAUUGGCAGGCUGAGUGAGACAUUCAGCCAAGACAACUCAAGUGGGUUUGUGAGUACCCAGAUGCCUGUGUAGAUGUUUUCUGGUGCAUUCAAGCCAGUUGAUACUCUGCUGCCUCAUAAGCAAACAAUGGCAUGAGUGGCUGGGCUGUGAUGUGGUUGCUGUGGUGGACUGGAGCUGUAAUUCAGUGGCUGAGAGACCUGGAUUCAAUUCUGUGCUCCACCACAGACUUCCCAUCUGACUGGGGCCCAGCUCCUUACUCUGUCUGGGGUGGUCUGGCUUGCACAACACAGCCUUGUGCAGAGAUCCUGGGGCUGGUAUCAGCCAAAGUCUAGCUCCCUGGGAGCUCUUUAGCUCUGCUGAGGACACAGACCUGUAGGGCCAUGUUGGUGACCCUCUCUGCCUGCUCUGGACCAAGAAGACCUCACAGCAUUUGGAGCUAAUGGAGGAUUGCUAGUACAGCACUGAGGUGUGUGAUACAGGCAGACCUCCCUUUCCCAUCUGCAGUAGUUGUUUCUGCUUCAUAAAGGAGGUAAAUAGGCUAGUGACUGCGAGGUGCAGUCGUGGUGAAGAAGGUCAUCAAUACGUGCGAGGGUGAUACCAUUUUAUCCCUACCCUGCGUAGGAGUGUGUAAGUACGUGAUGGAUAGCUUAUGGAGUCUCCAGCAGGGCUUCAGGCAGAGCCUAGUGGUCUUCUUUCUUUCUCACGUGGCUCAACACGAGACCUCCUUGCUUGUGAGUUAAGGUAAUAGUGACCUUCCGUGGGGCCCAGUCUCUGUUCCCAGUGGUGCUGUUUGUUAAGGGAGCUUACGUUUUCCUGGGGAACGACCAAUGCCUGACUGUAGAUGUGUUCUGAAGUCUUAUCUGUGCCUUAUCUGUCUCUGAAAAGGCAAACAUGAAACUUCAGUUCUUUAUUUGCCUGCAUGCUUUUAAGGUAUCACAACCUUGAAAGUAGAGUGACUUUUAAGAUAUCACAACCUUGAAAGUGAGUAGAGUAGAUUCGAAAGCUUUUUGCUUUCGAAUUGACGACCUCAGUGCUAACAAAUGUUGUUUCUCAAAUGUGAAAUGAAUCCUGCGUUUUUCUCUCCUCUUCCCACUUUCUUUUCCCUAUCCCAUGCCCCAGCUCCACGCAUUUUUUUCUGUCCUGGGGUUUCAGCUGUAUUUAGUAAGGUCUGGAUCAAGAUGGAGACCAGAAGAGUCAAGAGACAAAAUGGGGAGAAGUGCUUGACCACAGGAGGCUGGUGGCACAGGAUGUGGGAAUGCAGCGAGGAGAGAGUGGUAGCUUCCCUGCUCAGUUCCAACCACAGAAGACACUGUGAAGACAAGCCAUCAAAAGUGUCAGCUCUUACAGGAAACAUUUCAGAUCAAAUCACCACUCUUCAGAAUAAAUGGAGAAUUCUUUCCUUCCCAUCUUUUGUGACUUCAGUGCAGCUACUCCUGAUGGAUAAACAAUUCAGGCAGAUUCAGGCUCAUGUCUCAGCACAGCGGAAAUAUUACAAAAGUGUUGCGCUGAAUGCUUAAAUAAUUGGCUCACAAGCAAGAGCAUUCACAGGAGUGCACACUGUGAUACACAUUAUACGCUGCUUCUUGCUGGUGGGACAGUACCCUGCAAUCACACCCCACAGAUGGGCUCACAUAAUGUUUGCUGAGUCGAAAACUUUUUCUGUACAUAAAAAAGCACUAAAACCCCAUUUUCAGCAUCGUAUGCCAGAUGCUGGUGUGUGUUUGAAUGGCUGAAUUCUUGCCUUUCUACAACAUGUUGCAAAAUUGAUUCUGACUGAAGCACAGAAUUUACAGCAAUUUAGGAGAAGAACGAAGGCUGUUGCUGAUGAGGCUCCCAUCCAUGUCAGCAUUUUGAGAUGAGGACACCCUAGUUGGGCAGUGCAGUCCCUUCAGAUCAGGCCAGGCUUGUGUAACUUGGGUUUCAUUGAGAAGCGUGUAGCCAUCUGAACCAUGCACUGAGAACCUGAUUCUGCUCUGCUGCAGGUUUUUUGCUGUGCCCAGCUAGCAGGCGACUUUAGCUUUUAUCAGUCGCUGAAAUUCUGAAGGAAACAUCAGAAGUUAAAAUGCCUUUUUUUUGGAGGUGUAACACUACUGACUCAUUAGUUCACAGCUGCCCUGACGUUUUAUCAGCAGAAGGGAGCUGCACAACUUGGGAUCAACACAAUAAAAACUGAAUGACAAAUGAGUUGGCCACACCACUGCUUUAGUUCGAUCUCAGUAACAGAGGUCUCUGGUGGUGUCUCUCCAUGGGGAUGUUUUCAGGGUGGUCUCUGCAGGGUGAAGAUUUUGCGGCUGGGGGAAGAGGAGAGAGGAAGACAGCCUAGCUGGAGAAAUGAGGGCAUCUGUGAAGAAGCUGGCUGAGCAUCGCAGGAGCUGCAGGAACAUUUACUUGACUCCUUGUUUCUGAAGAAAGGUCAACAGCAGCUAUUGUGGUGUGGUGGUGAUUUAUUCAGCCCAACUGCUAGUGAAGGUCUGGACUAAGCUGGAGGGCUUCCUCCUGCUUUUUGACAGUGACUCUGUUGUUGCACAUACAGGAAACACCUCGAGGGGGUCAGGCAGGGAAAUAUGCUUAAUUUGAAAUCCAGUAGCUGAAAUGGUGUCAGUGCUGGUGGAGCAGCAAGCAGGGACCGGAGGGCAGUUGUGUCUGUAUGCUGCAGCCUUCAGCAUCCCCUCCAGCAUUUCUCACCUCCAAUGUUCAGCUCUGAAACAUAUGUUGACCACUCAAGGGAUCCAGUGAGUGGUUGGUUUGCCUUUGUGUUAUAGGCUGCAUGGAGAAUUCAAUCUAUUAGUAAAUCAGAGAACUGGUAAACUAUACUAGAUACUAGGAUUCAUUAGACAUUCAGGCUCCAAACAGGGCAGGUGAGCUUAAAAACCACAAGACGGCUGUUCUGGCACUUCUGCCCGUUAGAUCUCAGCCCUCAGCGAGGCGGUGUGAUGUGCACACGUGUCAAGCUGUUGCAGACAGCCAGCACCAUGUUUUCAGUUGGGCAGCCGCCGGGAUGUGCUGCACUCAGUGGAAGCACAGCCUGCGCUGUGCGCAAGCGUGGCACCUGCCCGGGGCCUGUCAGACCCCUGUCCUUCAGCAGCACGGACGUUGCUCCUGUCACUCAGCUCCAAAAAGGCCCAUGUAGGUCAUUUCUGGACUGUGUGGCUGUGAUACGCUGCCAGGCGCUGCACAGCAGUGAGUUUGUCAGGUGCAGGGUUGACGUGCUGAGCAGAAACAGACUGGUUAAUUCUAUUUCAAUUUCCAUUUCUUGAAGAUGCUCCUGCCCCAGUCUGUGCCUGUACAAGUGUGACAGUCAUCGGUGCGGGGCGCAGCUUGCUGUGGGACAGGCAAUACCAGCACGAAGCCAAGAUGGUGGCAUUUAACUGGAAGGCUUUGGAGAAUUUCCCAUUGCUGAUGUACAUUUUGGCAGCUAAAACAUUGAUUCUUUGCUUGGCGUUUGCUGGAGUAAAAAUGUACCAGAGCAAAAAAAUUGAAGAAAAACUGAAGAGGGAGCAUGAAAAGAAAUUGAAAGCAGAAGCAGAGAAGAAGGAUGACUGAAGAGUCUCUCAGGUAUAGAGUUUGUUUGACAUCCUGGUGUUUGCUAAUGGCAUUGACACAUUAAUCCCAUUGUCUUUUGAUUGAAUGCAUUUGGAUCGUGUGAUUAGAACUAUCACCGUCAUCUGAGUUCUUGUAAAGUUUGUCUCCUGUGGUGUUUCAGUGUAUUUGCACACCCAUAUCAUGCCCAUUCUUUGCAGGAACUGCAGUUCCCACCAGAAGACUUGGCAGCGAUGGUUCGUGAUUUAGGAGAUCUUAGCACAGUAUUCCUUCUCUGCUCUUUAUCUCCACCCAGCUAAUUGCACAGGAAGUCCUGAUGUUUAGAGAUGAUUAAAUUGGGCAAAAAAUGCAUGAGAAGUAUGCCAGGUGGAAUGAUGCAGUAAGACCUCUUGGCUUAAGUCACAUAAUUAAGAUAGAAAAGAAUCUGCCGUUCCAUAUUAGUUAAAUACAUGACAGGUUAUAGAUAGUUCAGCUGGAAGGGCCAAGUCUCAUGCCAUGGAACUUCCCAAGGUAACAGAAAUGCUACAGGGUAUGCUAUGUAACAUCCACCGUAUAUAAUUCACUGAGAAAAAUGGACAUCUUUCUGCAUAAAAAAGCAAAAUCAUUAUUACAGAAUUUUCUAGUUUGGGGUUUUCAUUCCACAUGUGCUAAAGUCCUUCCCUCUGUUUUCAAAGUUUAAGCAAUCAUUGUCCUACUGCAUCAAGUCCAUUAGCAAAAUGAGUGCUGCCUAGUGCUAAGUUGAUAUUCCCUGACUUGUUUGGUAUGUGAUUUUUUUGUAUCAUUAGUUUAUUUCACAUUUCUCUGUUCUGCAGCAAAAUGGGAAUUCUAUUCUUGCCUGCCCUUUGUAAGCUCAGUGGGAGUUUGAUGUAAUGUUACUCUUUAUUAAACUAGAAAAUUUACUUUCCCCUUUUCAGGUCAUCACCUCACAUCUGAAGAGAAUCUCAGUUUUAGAAAUGUUUACUAAUUUGUUUUGAAACCUCUCACUUUUAUUUCGUACAACAUUGGGAAUUUUGACUAGAAAUGAGGCCCUGGAAAUAACCAUGGGAACUAAGUGGUUCAUUCACAUUGAAAAAACAACAAAGCCAAAGGUGGUUUUCAAUCUCCUGUUUACACCAGGUUGAGGACUUGUCUCUGGGCAGACUUCUGCCAUUUUUAACUUUUAUUUUAUAUCAGUUUCACUAGCCACUGGGAAAUGCUGUGAGAACGCUGCUUUCUGGUUUUGCAAAGUCAGUUAGAUGGAGUUUUAUUGCUAAAAGAAUGAGAGAUGGGCUGCCCUGCAAGUGAACAAGCCUGCCACUUGUAACGACGAGACCAUACUGUGCUGUGCGUGCAGCAUAGGGUCCAAGGGAGUUCUCCUUGGCAGAGUCCAUAGCCCAAGGGAUUGCUGCACCAGGGUAACGAGCUCAUCCCGCAAGACCUCUGUGUCCAGCAUGUGACAUUUACCUUGAAUGACUGGCUUUAAAGCAUCCCUGAUAUGGCAGUAAAUGCCCUACUUGCCCAGUCACCCCGUGUUGCCCAGCAAUGGCCCAGUCCUUCCUAAAUUCUGCCUUCUCUUGGGCUGUCUGCCAUGUCUUUCUAUAAUGGGCUUGCAAAAAGGGGUGAAUUCUCCUACCCUAAAAAUGUUCUCCGGUGUCAGCACCGCAGAGCUGUGAUUAGCUCUGAUUGCAGCAUGCCACGUGGGCAGGCGGAUUUAGCCCAUGUGCUGCCAGUAUAUCAUGCCUGUUCUCACUGCUGUUUCUCCACCCUGCAGAUUUUCUGACACUUGGCAGCUUGCAUUGGAUUCCUUUCCUGGAAGAACGAAGCCUUCCUGUAGAUGAAGGAUGUGUCAAAGGAAUAAAACCCUCAAGAGUAACAUUCACUUAAACUGUAUCUCAAGUUUUUAUAUGUACAGCGAAAUAUCUGAGCCUCUAUUUAUGCAAUAAAAAAUCCUUUGUUAGAAAAA
ensembl:lncRNA